rnacentral:misc_RNA from 1 species
AAGUCGUAACAAGGUUUCCGUAGGUGAACCUGCGGAAGGAUCAUUAACACGUAUCCAACGUAAAAAACCCCCCUGUGAACAUUCAAACCUGCUCUCGUAGCCCAGUGCGAUCCAGCAAUCCCGGUAAAUCAUUGUCGAACAGUAUUGAUUCGGGACUUCUGACAAAUGAGAAGUUACAGUUACGAUUGAGCGGAGAUAGCUGCAUGGCAUCCCGAAGCAGUCAGUGUCUGAAAGUGUCAUUGAUUGUCUAAGGAUCUCGCCUCAACGAUUGCCAGAGGUCCCCCACGCCCCUUUACAACCCCAUUACCUCUGUGAGUCGCGGGAAACUAGCGGCUAAAAAACCUCGAACAACUGUUAACAAUGGAUAUCUUGGUUCUC